rnacentral:rRNA from 1 species
UACGGAGGGGGCGAGCGUUAUCCGGAAUUACUGGGUGUAAAGGGCGUGUAGGCGGCACUUUAAGUCAGAUGUGAAAUCUCCCGGCUCAACCUGGAAAGUGCAUCUGAUACUGCAGUGCUUGAAUGAGAGAGAGGAGAGCGGAAUUCCUAGUGUAGCGGUAAAAUGCGUAGAUAUUAGGAAGAACACCAGUGGCGAAGGCGGCUUACUGGCUAUUAAUUGACGCUGAGGCGCGAAAGCGUGGGGAGCAAACAGG